ACACGACUACAUUAGAUACCCGUGUAGUCCUAGCCGUAAACGAUACUCGCUAGGUGUCGGACACGGUGCGACCGUUGUCGGUGCCGUAGGGAAGCCGUGAAGCGAGCCACCUGGGAAGUACGGCCGCAAGGCUGAAACUUAAAGGAAUUGGCGGGGAGCACCACAACGGGUGGAGCUUGCGGUUUAAUUGGAUUCAACGCCGGAAAUCUUACCGGGACCGACAGCAACAUGAAGGCCAGGCUGAAGACUUUGCCGGAUUAGCUG
rnacentral:rRNA from 1 species